rnacentral:siRNA from 1 species
AAUUUGACAAGGUGGAUAACAC